UGCCCUGCAACUCCUAUCCCUACCUCCUCGUGGUACUGGCCGGGGUCCGAGUAACCUUGGAGAUGAUCGGGUAACCAACCCCCGGUGGGAACUUUGGUUGUAUGCUGACAGGGAAGG
rfam:Aedes aegypti strain Liverpool supercont1.185 genomic scaffold, whole genome shotgun sequence.